rnacentral:rRNA from 1 species
GAUGAACGCUGACAGAAUGCUUAACACAUGCAAGUCUACUUGAACUUCGGUUUGGGUGGCGGACGGGUGAGUAACGCGUAAAGAACUUGCCUCACAGAUAGGGACAACAUUUGGAAACGAAUGCUAAUACCUGAUAUUAUGAUUUUAGGGCAUCCUAGAAUUAUGAAAGCUAUAUGCACUGUGAGAGAGCUUUGCGUCCCAUUAGCUAGUUGGAGGGGUAACGGCUCACCAAGGCGAUGAUGGGUAGCCGGCCUGAGAGGGUGAUCGGCCACAAGGGGACUGAGACACGGCCCUUACGCCUACGGGAGGCAGCAGUGGGGAAUAUUGGACAAUGGACCAAGAGUCUGAUCCAGCAAUUCUGUGUGCACGAUGAAGUUUUUCGGAAUGUAAAGUGCUUUCAGUUGGGAAGAAAAAAAUGACGGUACCAACAGAAGAAGUGACGGCUAAAUACGUG